rnacentral:other from 1 species
AAGAAGCUACUUUGUGCGUAUUGUUAAUUAAGUUUUAACCUUUAAGCUGUAAUAGGGAGUUUUAUAUCGAAGCUGGAAUGUCAUGCCUCCAUUGCUGAGGACGACAGGAACGUUUCUGCAAACACCCACUUUGAGGAGUGGUGGUUUAAAACUUUCUUACUUGCAUACGGCAAGAUGUAGCGAAAGC